UACGUAGGGGGCGAGCGUUGUCCGGAAUCAUUGGGCGUAAAGAGCGUGUAGGCGGCCAGGUAGGUCCGUUGUGAAAACUCGAGGCUCAACCUCGAGACGUCGGCGGAAACCCUCUGGCUAGAGUCCGGAAGAGGAGAGUGGAAUUCCUGGUGUAGCGGUGAAAUGCGCAGAUAUCAGGAAGAACACCCGUGGCGAAGGCGGCUCUCUGGGACGGUACUGACGCUGAGACGCGAAAGCGUGGGGAGCAAACAGG
rnacentral:rRNA from 1 species